rnacentral:rRNA from 1 species
UCCUGCCGGACCUGACUGCUAUCGGAUUGAUACUAAGCCAUGCGAGUCUUUGUAGUAAUACAAGGCAUACGGCUCAGUAACACGUAGUCAACCUACCCUAUGGACGAGAAUAAUCUCGGGAAACUGAGCAUAAUUCUUGAUAGAUCAUAAUGCCUGGAAUGGUUUAUGGUUGAAAUGAUUCGUCGCCAUAGGAUGGGACUGCGGCCUAUCAGCUUGUUGGUGAGGUAAUGGCCCACCAAGGCGAUAACAGGUACGGGCUCUGAGAGGAGAAGCCCGGAGAUGGGUACUGAGACACGGACCCAGGCCCUAUGGGGCGCAGCAGGCGAGAAAACUUUGCAAUGUGCGAAAGCACGACAAGGUUAAUCCGAGUGAUUUCUGCUAAAGAAAUCUUUUACCAGUCAUAAAACCACUGGUGAAUAAGGGGUGGGCAAGUUCUGGUGUCAGCCGCCGCGGUAAAACCAGCACCUCAAGUGGUCAGGAUGAUUAUUGGGCCUAAAGCAUCCGUAGCCGGCUUUGUUAGUUUUCGGUUAAAUCCAUGUGCUCAACGCAUGGGCUGCCGAAAAUACUGCAAGGCUAGGGAGUGGGAGAGGUAGACGGUACUCAGUAGGAAGGGGUAAAAUCCUUUGAUCUAUUGAUGACCACCUGUGGCGAAGGCGGUCUACCAGAACACGUUCGACGGUGAGGGAUGAAAGCUGGGGGAGCAAACCGGAUUAGAUACCCGGGUAGUCCCAGCUGUAAACGAUGCAGACUCGAUGAUGCAUUGGCAUAAUAGCCAGUGCAGUGUCGCAGGGAAGCCGUUAAGUCUGCCGCCUGGGAAGUACGUACGCAAGUAUGAAACUUAAAGGAAUUGGCGGGGGAGCACCACAAGGGGUGAAGCCUGCGGUCAAU